UCUCUCUGUCUCUCUUGCGGACGACCCGAAACUGACGGAGGGCGAUUCUUCCCUGACGAUCUCGUUCUCGCAGCGUCACCUGAGGAACGUCGCUGGAUCAUGAGGCUACUGGCGUUGUCCAGGCCAUCUCUGGUGGAGCGAUCUCCUCCUUGGCCGUUUCUUGCACGCAAUCGACGGGGGUUCGACAUCUAGGGCACCGCGAUGAUCAGUCUAGGUACGCUUCAUUAGGAAAUCUUGUGGAUUCUGAGAUUCUGUCUUUUUGGUUUCCGAUGUAAUGUCUUCAACGAUCGAGACUAAUGGGAGGCAUCAGAUCAACUUGUUAGUGGAUUCUUCUUGAGCAGAUCACGGUGUUCUUCAUUUCUUGCGACCGUUAAGGUCUCGGGUGAAGAAGUGGGGGUCAAUUGAGUUGUCGGGCAGAGUCUUGCUGGGUUACGAGUUUUUGAUUUGCUGCCAUACCUCAAGGAUCUUGAUCGGGGACAAGCCGCA